UGGAAGAAAUUCAGGGACCUGACAACGAGCAACAUAACGGUCUACAGUCUCAGAUUAAAUUUAGGAGCUGUUCAAACUAUUAUAAUCCUUAAAUGCUUUCUCCCACACUGGAAUUCCUCUGCAUAUCAUAUACUGGUUUUGGGAGAUUCCAUGGCAUAUAAUGGAUGAAUUAUUUUUCUUUGCAAGAGAAGGUAACCCCAAACUAAGAGCGAGAUGUUGUCUACUGGAGGAGAAUUGCAAGAAAAGAGCUAAAAACAUUAUCCAUUUAGGUCUGAGGACAUAGAGAAAGGUUUGGAACAUUGAGGUUGGAUACCAGGAGCUUUGAGACUGCGGCAGUCAAUGAGGAGAAUGAAGGGAGUGCCUCUCAUGGAGCAACUGCAAGCUGUUACAUUUGAGCCGGCUACCUUCACAUCAUCUGAGGCCAUGUACGGAGCAUUGCAUUGAAGUGGCUGAGAAAAGGAGUCACCACAUUAUGUACCAUCGGGGCUCGUCUCAUAUCUCUUUUUCAAUAAAAGUAAA